GUCUGAACUUCUGGGCAGGCGGAGAUACAGGUGAAAGACUCCCGGAGAGGGGAGACCCUCACUCAAGCCUUGGGAUGAUGCGACCCCCCAAGAACUCAUGUGAGUCC
rnacentral:pre_miRNA from 14 species